rnacentral:rRNA from 1 species
UACAGAGGGUGCGAGCGUUAAUCGGAAUUACUGGGCGUAAAGCGUGCGUAGACGGUCAAGUAAGUCGGGUGUGAAAGCCCCGGGCUCAACCUGGGAAUUGCAUUCGAGACUGCGUGGCUAGGGUGCGGAAGAGGAAAGCGGAAUUCCACGUGUAGCGGUGAAAUGCGUAGAGAUGUGGAUGGAACACCAGUGGCGAAGGCGGCUUCUGGUCUGUAACUGACGCUGAGGCGCGAAAGCGUGGGGAGCAAACAGG